UACGUAGGUGGCAAGCGUUGUCCGGAAUUAUUGGGCGUAAAGCGCGCGCAGGCGGGUCCUUAAGUCUGAUGUGAAAGCCCACGGCUCAACCGUGGAGGGUCAUUGGAAACUGGGGAACUUGAGUGCAGAAGAGGAGAGUGGAAUUUCCUGUGUAGCGGUGAAAUGCGUAGAGAUGUGGAGGAACACCAGUGGCGAAGGCGACUUUCUGGCCUGUAACUGACGCUGAGGAGCGAAAGCGUGGGGAGCAAACAGG
rnacentral:misc_RNA from 1 species